UGCUGGACACCAGGCUGGGCAGUGGGAUCUCAUGGGACUUCAGCCUCCUUGGGGAACUGGGCCUGAGCUAGUGUUCUGCUCUCAAAAUUCCAGUGCUGGGCAGGGAAUGAGUGGGCGGCCCUGAGGGCUGAGGACAGCGGGGCAGAUGUGGGGGCAGAUGGAGGGUGGCUUGGCUUGCAAAGAUGAGUUCAAGCAGAGCAACCGCAAGUGCAAAGGCCCUGAGGCCAGAGACCCCAGAGGGAAGCCAGAGGGGCAGCAGGUUGGGCGAGGCUAGGAUCAUGGUUGCUGAUCAAGAGAGAUUCUGGGUAGGCUGAGAGGCACCCCUGGGGGGGUGACAAGAAGACAGCCAGAACUGAAUCUGUGUUUCUAAUCAACUCCUGUUCAGUUAGGACUUCACCGGAAGGUGCACGGGGAGUCGGGCCAUGACCGACCUCAAGACGCAGGCCCUGGGAUGAGUGUGGAACCUCUGCGCACUUUACACUCCAGGUCUUCUUUCAAAACAAAAUUGGACUACGCAUCAGAGAUGUGUAGGAGAUCUUCCCAACCCAGGGAUCAAC